GACAGAGGGGGCAAGCGUUGCUCGGAAUUACUGGGCGUAAAGGGCUCGUAGGCGGCCAACUAAGUCGGACGUGAAAUCCCUCAGCUUAACUGGGGAACUGCGUCCGAUACUGGAUGGCUUGGAUUUGGGAGAGGGAUGCGGAAUUCCAGGUGUAGCGGUGAAAUGCGUAGAUAUCUGGAGGAACACCGGUGGCGAAGGCGGCAUCCUGGACCGGCAUUGACGCUGAGGAGCGAAAGCCAGGGGAGCAAACGGG
rnacentral:rRNA from 1 species